GCGACUAUGGUGAAGUGGUUAACACACUGGAUUGUGGCUCCAGCAUUCGUCAGUUCGAUCCUGACUAGUCGCCCCA
rnacentral:tRNA from 1 species